rnacentral:rRNA from 1 species
AGAACGAACGCUGGCGGCAUGCCUAACACAUGCAAGUCGAACGAACCCUUCGGGGUUAGUGACGCACGGGUGCGUAACGCGUGGGAAUCUGCCCUUAGGUACGGAAUAACUCAGCGAAAGUUGUGCUAAUACCGUAUGAUGUCUUCGGACCAAAGAUUUAUCGCCUAGGGAUGAGCCCGCGUUGGAUUAGCUAGUUGGUGAGGUAAAGGCUCACCAAGGCGACGAUCCAUAGCUGGUCUGAGAGGAUGAUCAGCCACACUGGGACUGAGACACGGCCCAGACUCCUACGGGAGGCAGCAGGUGGGGAAUAGUUGGACAAGUGGG